rnacentral:rRNA from 1 species
UAGCAAGUCGAACGGACGUUUCUAUGGAAGACUGCUCCACUGAGAAGAUAGUGGCGAACGGGUGAGUAACACGUGGGUAACCUGCCCAUAAGAGGGGGGAUAACAUCCGGAAACGGGUGCUAAUACCGCAUAGUUUUCUUGAUCGCAUGAUCGGGAAAGGAAAGACGGCCUUUGUGCUGUCGCUUAUGGAUGGACCCGCGGCGUAUUAGUUAGUUGGUGAGGUAACGGCUCACCAAGACGAUGAUACGUAGCCGACCUGAGAGGGUGAUCGGCCACAUUGGGACUGAGACACGGCCCAAACUCCUACGGGAGGCAGCAGUAGGGAAUCUUCCGCAAUGGACGAAAGUCUGACGGAGCAACGCCGCGUGAGUGAAGAAAGGUUUUCGGAUCGUAAAACUCUGUUGUCAGAGAAGAACAAGUUGGAGAGUAACUGCUCCAGCCUUGACGGUAUCUGACCAGAAAGCCACGGCUAACUACGUGCCAGCCGCCGC